UGGAGGUGGGAUUCCUCUUUUUUUCUCAUUAGUUACAAACCUCGUCCCUGUUUUUGGGUUCAUAGGAAGUUCUUAUUAUUAGUCAGUUCAAAAAAAUGCUAAUUUUAAUUUUGUCCAUUCCAAAGGAGAAUAAUAAAAUUGCGACAAUGAAAGUGAGACAAGAUUCCGGUUGGGUUGUAUUCUUCUGAGAUGAGGAUCCAAAAAGUUGAAGGGAGUUCUUAGCUCUGUUACUUCAUCCCAGAUCUGGUAGGAUACUGCAGUGCAGACAUUGGUCUGUAAAGAAAGAUCACAAUAUUUCAGUUUAGGGGAUUUUAAAGAUUUUUGUCUUAUAUUAUUCGAGAAUAUGCUUUAAGUUCUGAAAAAAAAAAAGAUGUGUUGACUGAGACUCCUUGUUGAUGAAUGGAUGGUUAACUAUUUUGCAUUCAGACUUGAGCAAAUAAUUCAGAGUUAACAGUUGAGGCAAUUUAGACCUGAGACCAGGUAGCUUUUUAACUUUUGUGAUUGGUGGAAUUCGAGCAAGCAGAACCUUUAGUCAUCCUAGAUUUUGAAGCGAGAAAUGGCAGGUUCUAAGUUCCUGUUUUCAGUUCAUUAAAAGAGCAUUUACUUUUCUUUAUUAAUGGACAAAUUACAUCUUCUGAGUGAGACUUCUAGUCAGAUUUGCUUGUCAUUGGUUCUAGAGUUCACCUUGGAUCUUGAGCUUAGUUAGUAUAUGGCGUUAGAGGAUUCUUUUUAAUCAAUAAUAAUGAAUUUUUCCAUAUCCAGGUGAAUCUCCUUGGAUGAUUGCACAGGUGUUGCUCCAGUGAUUGCCAUCUAUUGCUUGGAUUAUAUCUGUUUCUUUUGAGGCUGGUGCUUUCCAUAGGCAGAUUUUUGAAGAGGAUCCUUAGAUUAGAAAUCUGAGUUUAAGGAGCUUCCGUUUCGAUCCCUCUUUAGGUGCAUAUCGUUAACAAAGUUUGUCUUUUGGUCCAUCA
rnacentral:lncRNA from 1 species